GAUGAACGCUGGCGGCGUGCCUAAUACAUGCAAGUAGAACGCUGAAGGAAGGAGCUUGCUCUUUCCGGAUGAGUUGCGAACGGGUGAGUAACGCGUAGGUAACCUGCCUGGUAGCGGGGGAUAACUAUUGGAAACGAUAGCUAAUACCGCAUAACAGUAGAUGUUGCAUGAUAUCUACUUAAAAGGUGCAAUUGCACCACUACCAGAUGGACCUGCGUUGUAUUAGCUAGUUGGUGAGGUAACGGCUCUCCCAGGCGACGAUACAUAGCCGACCUGAGAGGGUGAAUGGCCAAACUGGGAAGGGGACAAGGCCCAGACCCCCAAGGGAGGCAGCAGUAAGGAAUCUUCCGCAAUGGACGGAAGUCUAACCGAGCAACGCCGCGUGAGUGAAGAAGGGUUUCGGAACGUAAAGCUCUGUUGUAAGAGAAGAACGAGUGGGAGAGUGGAAAGUGCACACUGUGACGGUAUCUUACCAGAAAGGGACGGCUAACUACGUG
rnacentral:rRNA from 1 species